UUAAGUUAUUAAGGGCGCACGGUGGAUGCCUUGGCACUAGAAGCCGAUGAAGGACGUUACUAACGACGACAUGCUUUGGGGAGCUGUAAGUAAGCUUUGAUCCAGAGAUUUCCGAAUGGGGAAACCCAGCAUGAGUUAUGUCAUGUUAUCGAUAUGUGAAUACAUAGCAUAUCAGAAGGCACACCCGGAGAACUGAAACAUCUUAGUACCCGGAGGAAGAGAAAGAAAAUUCGAUUCCCUUAGUAGCGGCGAGCGAAACGGGAAGAGCCCAAACCAACAAGCUUGCUUGUUGGGGUUGUAGGACACUCUAUACGGAGUUACAAAGGACGACAUUAGACGAAUCAUCUGGAAAGAUGAAUCAAAGAAGGUAAUAAUCCUGUAGUCGAAAAUGUUGUCUCUCUUGAGUGGAUCCUGAGUACGACGGAGCACGUGAAAUUCCGUCGGAAUCUGGGAGGACCAUCUCCUAAGGCUAAAUACUCUCUAGUGACCGAUAGUGAACCAGUACCGUGAGGGAAAGGUGAAAAGCACCCCGGAAGGGGAGUGAAAUAGAACCUGAAACCGUGUGCUUACAAGUAGUCAGAGCCCGUUAAUGGGUGAUGGCGUGCCUUUUGUAGAAUGAACCGGCGAGUUACGAUUUGAUGCAAGGUUAAGCAGUAAAUGUGGAGCCGUAGCGAAAGCGAGUCUGAAUAGGGCGUUUAGUAUUUGGUCGUAGACCCGAAACCAGGUGAUCUACCCUUGGUCAGGUUGAAGUUCAGGUAACACUGAAUGGAGGACCGAACCGACUUACGUUGAAAAGUGAGCGGAUGAACUGAGGGUAGCGGAGAAAUUCCAAUCGAACCUGGAGAUAGCUGGUUCUCUCCGAAAUAGCUUUAGGGCUAGCCUCAAGUGAUGAUUAUUGGAGGUAGAGCACUGUUUGGACGAGGGGCCCCUCUCGGGUUACCGAAUUCAGACAAACUCCGAAUGCCAAUUAAUUUAACUUGGGAGUCAGAACAUGGGUGAUAAGGUCCGUGUUCGAAAGGGAAACAGCCCAGACCACCAGCUAAGGUCCCAAAAUAUAUGUUAAGUGGNNNNNNNNNNNNNNNNNNNNNNNNNNNNNNNNNNNNNNNNNNNNNNNNNNNNNNNNNNNNNNNNNNNNNNNNNNNNNNNNNNNNNNNNNNNNNNNNNNNNNNNNNNNNNNNNNNNNNNNNNNNNNNNNNNNNNNAAAGGAUGUGGCGUUGCCCAGACAACUAGGAUGUUGGCUUAGAAGCAGCCAUCAUUUAAAGAGUGCGUAAUAGCUCACUAGUCGAGUGACACUGCGCCGAAAAUGUACCGGGGCUAAACAUAUUACCGAAGCUGUGGAUUGUCCUUUGGACAAUGGUAGGAGAGCGUUCUAAGGGCGUUGAAGCAUGAUCGUAAGGACAUGUGGAGCGCUUAGAAGUGAGAAUGCCGGUGUGAGUAGCGAAAGACGGGUGAGAAUCCCGUCCACCGAUUGACUAAGGUUUCCAGAGGAAGGCUCGUCCGCUCUGGGUUAGUCGGGUCCUAAGCUGAGGCCGACAGGCGUAGGCGAUGGAUAACAGGUUGAUAUUCCUGUACCACCUAUAAUCGUUUUAAUCGAUGGGGGGACGCAGUAGGAUAGGCGAAGCGUGCGAUUGGAUUGCACGUCUAAGCAGUAAGGCUGAGUAUUAGGCAAAUCCGGUACUCGUUAAGGCUGAGCUGUGAUGGGGAGAAGACAUUGUGUCUUCGAGUCGUUGAUUUCACACUGCCGAGAAAAGCCUCUAGAUAGAAAAUAGGUGCCCGUACCGCAAACCGACACAGGUAGUCAAGAUGAGAAUUCUAAGGUGAGCGAGCGAACUCUCGUUAAGGAACUCGGCAAAAUGACCCCGUAACUUCGGGAGAAGGGGUGCUCUUUAGGGUUAACGCCCAGAAGAGCCGCAGUGAAUAGGCCCAAGCGACUGUUUAUCAAAAACACAGGUCUCUGCUAAACCGUAAGGUGAUGUAUAGGGGCUGACGCCUGCCCGGUGCUGGAAGGUUAAGAGGAGUGGUUAGCUUCUGCGAAGCUACGAAUCGAAGCCCCAGUAAACGGCGGCCGUAACUAUAACGGUCCUAAGGUAGCGAAAUUCCUUGUCGGGUAAGUUCCGACCCGCACGAAAGGCGUAACGAUUUGGGCACUGUCUCAACGAGAGACUCGGUGAAAUCAUAGUACCUGUGAAGAUGCAGGUUACCCGCGACAGGACGGAAAGACCCCGUGGAGCUUUACUGUAGCCUGAUAUUGAAAUUCGGCACAGCUUGUACAGGAUAGGUAGGAGCCUUUGAAACGUGAGCGCUAGCUUACGUGGAGGCGCUGGUGGGAUACUACCCUAGCUGUGUUGGCUUUCUAACCCGCACCACUUAUCGUGGUGGGAGACAGUGUCAGGCGGGCAGUUUGACUGGGGCGGUCGCCUCCUAAAAGGUAACGGAGGCGCUCAAAGGUUCCCUCAGAAUGGUUGGAAAUCAUUCAUAGAGUGUAAAGGCAUAAGGGAGCUUGACUGCGAGACCUACAAGUCGAGCAGGGUCGAAAGACGGACUUAGUGAUCCGGUGGUUCCGCAUGGAAGGGCCAUCGCUCAACGGAUAAAAGCUACCCCGGGGAUAACAGGCUUAUCUCCCCCAAGAGUUCACAUCGACGGGGAGGUUUGGCACCUCGAUGUCGGCUCAUCGCAUCCUGGGGCUGUAGUCGGUCCCAAGGGUUGGGCUGUUCGCCCAUUAAAGCGGUACGCGAGCUGGGUUCAGAACGUCGUGAGACAGUUCGGUCCCUAUCCGUCGUGGGCGUAGGAAAUUUGAGAGGAGCUGUCCUUAGUACGAGAGGACCGGGAUGGACAUACCUCUGGUGUACCAGUUGUCGUGCCAACGGCAUAGCUGGGUAGCUAUGUGUGGACGG
rnacentral:rRNA from 1 species